rnacentral:rRNA from 1 species
UACGUAGGGUGCGAGCGUUAAUCGGAAUUACUGGGCGUAAAGUGUGCGCAGGUGGCUGAGCAAGUCGAGUGUGAAAUCCCCGGGCUUAACCGGGGAACUGCGUCUGAUACUGGUUGGCUUGAGUUUGGGAGAGGGAUGCGGAAUUCCAGGUGUAGCGGUGAAAUGCGUAGAUAUCUGGAGGAACACCGGUGGCGAAGGCGGCAUCCUGGACCAACACUGACGCUGAGGAGCGAAAGCCAGGGGAGCAAACGGG